rnacentral:rRNA from 1 species
UCCUACGGGAGGCAGCAGUAAGGAAUAUUGGACAAUGGAGGCAACUCUGAUCCAGCCAUGCCGCGUGAAGGAUUAAGGCCCUAUGGGUUGUAAACUUCUUUUAGACGGGACAAAACCCCUUUACGUGUAAAGGGUUGAUGGUACUGUCAGAAUAAGCAUCGGCUAACUUCGUGCCAGCAGCCGCGGUAAUACGAAGGAUGCAAGCGUUAUCCGGAAUUAUUGGGUUUAAAGGGUGCGUAGGCGGACUAAUAAGUCAGUGGUGAAAGCCUGCAGCUUAACUGCAGAAUUGCCGUUGAUACUGUUAGUCUUGAGUACAGUUGAGGUAGGCGGAAUGUGUCAUGUAGCGGUGAAAUGCUUAGAUAUGACACAGAACACCGAUGGCGAAGGCAGGUCCCUGGGCUGAUACUGACGCUCAUGCACGAAAGCGUGGGGAGCAAACAGGAUUAGAUACCCUGGUAGUCCACGCCCUAAACGAUGUCGACUGGUUGUUGGGGGUUUGACACUCUCAGUAACGAAGCUAACGCGUGAAGUCGACCGCCUGGGGAGUACGGCCGCAAGGUUAAAACUCAAAUGAAUUGACGG